CAUUAAGGCUCCAAUCCCUGAGUUGCGCCUUUUAGACAUAGGGCCUCCAUUGCCUAAUCGCCUUUUGCCAACAUUAGGGCUCCAAUCCCUGAUUUGACCUUUUUGCCUUUUAGCCAAUAUUAGGUAUCCAAUCCCUUAGUUGUGCCUUUUAGACAUAGGGCCUCCAAUCCCUAGUCGCCUUUAUCCAAUAUUAGGGCUCCAAUCAUAAAGUUGAGUUUUUUUCUUUAGCCAACAUUAGGGCUCCAUUCCCUAGUUGAGUUUUUCUCCUUUUAGCCAACAUUAGGGCUCCAAUCCCUGAGUUGCGCCUUUUAGACAUAGGGCCUCCAUUCCCUAGUCGCCUUUUGACAACAUUAGGGUUCCAAUCCCUGAAUUGAGCUUUUUACCUUUUAGCCAGCAUUAGGUCUCCAACCCCGGAGUUGACAUUUUAGCA
rnacentral:lncRNA from 1 species